rnacentral:lncRNA from 10 species
GUAGAUAACAGCACAGGGAGCUGUGUUUUAUGGCCUCAAAGAGUUUAACCCAGAUUGGAAAAAGGUAUUUCACUCCAGCAGCAACAGAGGGGAGCUGUACCUUGCCUCUGACUCCAGAGAAACGGGACAUGUCACAGGGGUGACCAACAGGGCACCAGCCACAGCAGGGAGGGUGGAAACUUGGGCAGCAAGAGUCACAGUUAAUGCCUGGUGAGGAGUGACCAUUGGAGUGACGUGGAGCUGCACGGUGUUCAGGUCAGCUGUGGUGGUUCUGCUUCAGGCUGUGGAUCCAGAUCACGUCUGCCCCACACGGCUCUCACGCUGGGACCAGCAGCUUCUCUUGGCAGCUAGCAGAGGUUUGAGAAGGCAGCCCAGACCAUGCAAACUCAUUGAAAACCUCUGCUCGGGUGACAUCCUUUAAUAUUUCAUUGGCAAGACCCAGCGCAGUGGCUCACACCUGUAAUCCCAGCACUUUGGUGGGCCGAGGAGGGCGGAUCACCUGAGGUCAGGAGUUCAAGACCAGCCUAGACAACAUGGCGAAAACUCAUCUGUACUAAAAAAUACAAAAAUUAGCUGGGCUUGGUGGUGGGCGCCUGUAAUCUCAGCUACUUGGGAUGCUGAGGCAGGAGAAUUGCUUGAACCCAGGAGUCAGAGGUUGCAGUGAGCCGAGAUCAUUCCACUGUACUCUAGCCUGGGUGACAAAGUGAGACUUUGCCAAAAAAAAAAAAAAAAAAAAAAUUCCAUUGGCAAACAAAUCACAUAGUCAAGACUAGCAUCAGUGGGUUAUGAAAAUGUGCUCUGUGGACUCCAGUGGGGGACCCUGCAAAGUCUGGGGCAAAGGCUGUGGAUGCUGAAUUCUGUUACAGGGAGGGAGUGAAAAAUUGAGAGUAGUAAUCCAGUCUCCCACGGGGCCCAUCACGGCUGUUUGGAGGCACACAUGAGUUACCAUGGCGACAUCUUGAAUGAGAAGGGAGAAACUCAAUGGAAGCAACAAGGCUGAGAACUCGAGCAGAGAGCUUGUAACCUGUAGGGCCACACACCUCUGCAGUGAAAUGCAGCACCCGGGCCUGACAUGAGACUAGAAGGCACCUGUCUUUUUCAGAGGACUAAUUUGCUUGAUUGGUGACUUAAGUACAAGGGCCUGGGCACCUUUGCUCAGUUCUUUCCCUGCCGUCUUCCACGAUGUUUGCUUGGAGAUCAUUCUGGCCUUUGCCCUGCUCUGUGGCAAGCUCUGAAGCCUGUUUCACACACAUGUUGGAUGUCCAGGGAUGCCUGUGGCCCAACAGGUAAGUCUGUA